GAUGAACGCUGGCGGCGUGCCUAAUACAUGCAAGUCGAGCGAAUGGAUUAAGAGCUUGCUCUUAUGAAGUUAGCGGCGGACGGGUGAGUAACACGUGGGUAACCUGCCCAUAAGACUGGGAUAACUCCGGGAAACCGGGGCUAAUACCGGAUAACAUUUUGAACCGCAUGGUUCGAAAUUGAAAGGCGGCUUCGGCUGUCACUUAUGGAUGGACCCGCGUCGCAUUAGCUAGUUGGUGAGGUAACGGCUCACCAAGGCAACGAUGCGUAGCCGACCUGGGAGGGUGAUCGGCCACACUGGGACUGAUACACGGCCCAAACUCCUACGGGAGGCAGCAGUAGGGAAUCUUCCGCAAUGGACGAAAGUCUGACGGAGCAACGCCGCGUGAGUGAUGAAGGCUUUCGGGUCGUAAAACUCUGUUGUUAGGGAAGAACAAGUGCUAGUUGAAUAAGCUGACACCUUGACGGUACCUAACCAGAAAGCCACGGCUAACUACGUGCCAGCAGCCGCAGUAA
rnacentral:rRNA from 1 species